UAGCCAUUGUGUUGAAAAAAUUGAUUAGAUUAAACGCAUAAAUCACUUUAUUCAUCUAGUCUAUUUCAUGAUUAUCCUAAAUCUUAUCAAACAGUGGGAACUAAUUUAAUUUUAAAGUGGUGUUGAUCGCUGGAAAUUAUUCCACUCGUGUGAAUUUGGAAUUUUCGUAUGGUUUGUGGGAAAAUUAUUUUCGAGUAAAUCGCUGUAAGUA